AGAGUUUGAUCCUGGCUCAGAACGAACGCUGGCGGCAGGCUUAACACAUGCAAGUCGAACGCGUGUAGCAAUACACGAGUGGCGCACGGGUGAGUAACACGUGGAUUAUCUGCCUUUUGGUUCGGAAUAACCCCGGGAAACUGGGGCUAAUACCGGAUAGUUCCUACGGGAUAAAGAUUUAUCGCCAAAAGAUGAGUCCGCGCCCGAUUAGCUAGUUGGCGGGGUAACGGCCCACCAAGGCAACGAUCGGUAGCUGGUCUGAGAGGACGAUCAGCCACACUGGGACUGAGACACGGUCCAUACUCCUACGGGAGGCAGCAGUGGGGAAUAUUGGACAAUGGGGGCAACCCUGAUCCAUCCAUGCCACGUGAGUGAUGAAGGCCUUCGGGUUGUAAAGCUCUUUUGGCGGGGACGAUGAUGACGGUUCCCGCAGAAUAAGCCCCGGUUAACUUCGUGCCUGUAGCCGCGUUCAGACUAAUGAGGCUAGCGUUGUUCGGAAUUACUGGGCGUAUAGCGCGUGUAGUGCUGUUGUUCAAGUCUGGUGUGUAUGCCUUUGAUUUCCAUUCAAGAAAUAGGUCUCGGUACUGGAUGACUUGAGGACCGCAGAGGAAUAUUGUCAAUUCCCACUGUAUUGGUUCAAUUAUGUACUAGAUUCGCUGAAAAUCUCCUUUUGCCUAAACGUUGCUUUCUUGGAUAGUUUCUGUACAUUAUUUACACUAAUAACUGUUAU
rnacentral:rRNA from 1 species